AGAGCGAACGCUGGCGGCAGGCCUAACACAUGCAAGUCGAGCGCCCGUAGCAAUACGGGAGCGGCAGACGGGAUAGUAACACGUGGGAACGCGCCCUUCGGUUCGGAAUAACUCAGGGAAACUUGAGCUAAUACCGGAUACGCCCUUACGGGGAAAGAUUUAUUGCCGAAGGAACGGCCCGCGUCCGAUUAGCUAGUUGGUGAGGUAAUGGCUCACCAAGGCGACGAUCGGUAGCUGGUCUGAGAGGAUGACCAGCAUCACUGGGACUGAGACACGGCCCAGACUCCUACGGGAGGCAGCAGUGGGGAAUAUUGGACAAUGGGCGCAAGCCUGAUCCAGCCAUGCCGCGUGGAUGAUGAAGGCCUUAGGGUUGUAAAGUCCUUUUAACGGGGAAGAUAAGUGACGGUACCGUAGAAUAAGCCCCGGCUAACUUCGCGCCAGCAGCCGC
rnacentral:rRNA from 1 species